CCUGCGGGGGAAAGAUUUAUCGCUAUUAGAUGAGCCUACGUUAGAUUAGCUAGUUGGUAAGGUAAUGGCUUACCAAGGCUAUGAUCUAUAGCUGGUCUGAGAGGACGAUCAGCCACACUGGAACUGAGAUACGGUCCAGACUCCUACGGGAGGCAGCAGUGGGGAAUAUUGGACAAUGGGCGAAAGCCUGAUCCAGCUAUGCCGCGUGAGUGAAGAAGGCCUUCGGGUUGUAAAGCUCUUUCAAUAGGGAAGAUAAUGACGGUACCUAUAGAAGAAGUCCCGGCAAACUCCGUGCCAGCAGCCGCGGUAAUACGGAGGGGGCAAGCGUUGUUCGGAAUUAUUGGGCGUAAAGGGCACGUAGGUGGACUAGUAAGUUAAAAGUGAAAUACCAAAGCUUAACUUUGGAGCUGCUUUUAAUACUGCUAGACUAGAGGUCGAAAGAGGAUAGCGGAAUUCCUAGUGUAGAGGUGAAAUUCGUAGAUAUUAGGAGGAACACCAGUGGCGAAGGCGGCUAUCUGGUUCGAUACUGACACUGAGGUGCGAAAGCGUGGGGAGCAAACAGGAUUAGAUACCCUGGUAGUCCACGCUGUAAACGAUGAGUGCUAAAUGUGAGGAUUUUAUCUUUGUAUUGUAGCUAACGCGUUAAGCACUCCGCCUGGGGACUACGGUCGCAAGACUAAAACUCAAAGGAAUUGACGGGGACCCGCACAAGCGGUGGAGCAUGUGGUUUAAUUCGAUGCUACGCGAAAAACCUUACCACUUUUUGACAUGAAGGUCGUAUCCCUCCUAACAGGGGGAGUCAGUUCGGCUGGACCUUACACAGGUGCUGCAUGGUUGUCGUCAGCUCGUGUCGUGAGAUGUUGGGUUAAGUCCCGCAACGAGCGCAACCCUCAUCCUUAGUUACCAACAGGUAAUGCUGGGCACUCUAAGGAAACUGCCAGUGAUAAACUGGAGGAAGGUGGGGAUGAUGUCAAAUCAGCACGGCCCUUAUAAGGUGGGCUACACACGUGCUACAAUGGCAACUACAAUAGGUUGCGAGACCGCAAGGUUUAGCUAAUCCAUAAAAGUUGUCUCAGUUCGGAUUGUUCUCUGCAACUCGAGAGCAUGAAGUCGGAAUCGCUAGUAAUCGUGGAUCAUCACGCCACGGUGAAUACGUUCUCGGGUCUUGUACACACUGCCCGUCACGCCAUGGGAAUUGGCUUAACUCGAAGCUGGUGUGCUAACCGCAAGGAAGCAGCCAUUUAAGGUUGGGUCAGUGACUAGGGUGAAGUCGUAACAAG
rnacentral:rRNA from 1 species